rnacentral:rRNA from 1 species
UGCAGUGGACGCAAUUGAUUCUCCCGUAGCUUGCUACAUUUGAAUUGAUUGAGUCGCGAACGGGUGAGUAACGCGUAGGUAACCUACCUUAUAGCGGGGGAUAACUAUUGGAAACGAUAGCUAAUACCGCAUAAGAGUUGACAACACAUGUUGUUAAUUUAAAAGGAGCAAUUGCUUCACUAUGAGAUGGACCUGCGUUGUAUUAGCUAGUUGGUAAGGUAACGGCUUACCAAGGCUUCGAUACAUAGCCGACCUGAGAGGGUGAUCGGCCACACUGGGACUGAGACACGGCCCAGACUCCUACGGGAGGCAGCAGUAGGGAAUCUUCGGCAAUGGGGGGAACCCUGACCGAGCAACGCCGCGUGAGUGAAGAAGGUUUUCGGAUCGUAAAGCUCUGUUAUAAGCGAAGAACGGGAGUAAGAGUGGAAAGUUUACUCUGUGACGGUAGCUUAUCAGAAAGGGACGGCUAACUACGUGCCAGCAGCCGCGGUAAUACGUAGGUCCCGAGCGUUGUCCGGAUUUAUUGGGCGUAAAGCGAGCGCAGGUGGUUUAAUAAGUCUGAAGUUAAAGGCAUUGGCUCAACCAAUGUACGCUUUGGAAACUGUUAAACUUGAGUGCAGAAGGGGAGAGUGGAAUUCCAUGUGUAGCGGUGAAAUGCGUAGAUAUAUGGAGGAACACCGGUGGCGAAAGCGGCUCUCUGGUCUGUAACUGACACUGAGGCUCGAAAGCGUGGGUAGCGAACAGGAUUAGAUACCCUGGUAGUCCACGCCGUAAACGAUGAGUGCUAGGUGUUGGGUCCUUUCCGGGACUCAGUGCCGCAGCUAACGCAUUAAGCACUCCGCCUGGGGAGUACGACCGCAA